rnacentral:rRNA from 1 species
GCUAAGGAUAUUCCGCAACGGGCGGAAGCCCGGCGGAGCGACGCCGCGUGGACGAGGAAGGCCGGAAGGUUGCAGAGUCCUUUUGCGGGGGAAGAAGGAGCCGCGGAGGGAAUGCCGCGGCGGCGACCGAACCCCGCGAAUAAGGGGCGGCUAAUUACGUGCCAGCAGCCGCGGUAACACGUAAGCCCCGAGCGUUGUUCGGAAUCAUUGGGCGUAAAGGGCGCGUAGGCGGCCGCUCAAGCCCGGAGUGAAAGGCGGGGGCCCAACCCCCGGACUGCUCCGGGAACUGGGCGGCUGGAGUCGCCGAGGGGGAGCCGGAAUUCCUGGUGUAGGGGUGAAAUCUGUAGAUAUCAGGAAGAACACCGAUGGCGAAGGCAGGCUUCCAGCGGACGACUGACGCUGAGGCGCGAAGGCGCGGGGAGCGAACAGG